AACGGAGGAUGCAAGUGUUAUCCGGAAUCACUGGGCGUAAAGCGUCUGUAGGUGGUUUAAUAAGUCAACUGUUAAAUCUUGAGGCUCAACCUCAAAAUCGCAGUCGAAACUAUUAGGCUAGAGUAUAGUAGGGGUAAAGGGAAUUUCCAGUGGAGCGGUGAAAUGCGUAGAGAUUGGAAAGAACACCGAUGGCGAAGGCAGGUCUCUGGGCCACUACUGACGCUGAGAAGCGAAAGCAUGGGGAGCGAACAGG
rnacentral:rRNA from 1 species